GAUGAACGCUGGCGGCGUGCUUAACACAUGCAGUCGAACGAAGCACUUUAUUUGAUUUCCUUCGGGACUGAUUAUUUUGUGACUGAGUGGCGGACGGGUGAGUAACGCGUGGGUAACCUGCCUUGUACAGGGGGAUAACAGUUGGAAACGGCUGCUAAUACCGCAUAAGCGCACGGCAUCGCAUGAUGCAGUGUGAAAAACUCCGGUGGUAUAAGAUGGGCCCGCGUUGGAUUAGCUAGUUGGUGAGGUAACGGCCCACCAAGGCGACGAUCCAUAGCCGACCUGAGAGGGUGACCGGCCACAUUGGGACUGAGACACGGCCCAAACUCCUACGGGAGGCAGCAGUGGGGAAUAUUGCACAAUGGGCGAAAGCCUGAUGCAGCGACGCCGCGUGAGCGAAGAAGUAUUUCGGUAUGUAAAGCUCUAUCAGCAGGGAAGAUAAUGACGGUACCUGACUAAGAAGCACCGGCUAAAUACGUG
rnacentral:rRNA from 1 species